AUUGAACGCUGGCGGCAGGCCUAACACAUGCAAGUCGAGCGAGAAAACACUUCGGUGUGAGUACAGCGGCGGACGGGUGAGUAACGCGUAGGAAUCUACCCAGUAGUGGGGGACAACAGUCGGAAACGGCUGCUAAUACCGCAUACGCCCUAUGGGGGAAAGCGGGGGAUCUUCGGACCUCGCGCUAUUGGAUGAGCCUGCGUAAGAUUAGCUAGUUGGUGGGGUAAAAGCUCACCAAGGCGACGAUCUUUAGCUGGUCUGAGAGGAUGAUCAGCCACACUGGGACUGAGACACGGCCCAGACUCCUACGGGAGGCAGCAGUGGGGAAUAUUGCGCAAUGGAGGCAACUCUGACGCAGCCAUGCCGCGUGUGUGAAGAAGGCCUUAGGGUUGUAAAGCACUUUCAAUUGGGAAGAAAAGUUAAAGGUUAAUAACCUUUAACCCUGACAUUACCUUUAGAAGAAGCACCGGCUAACUCCG
rnacentral:rRNA from 1 species